rnacentral:tRNA from 1 species
GGCGGUGUGGUGUAGUGGUUAGCACGUGACAUUCUCAUUGUUAAGACCGGGGUUCGAUUCCCCACUCCGCUA